rnacentral:rRNA from 1 species
GACGAACGCUGGCGGCGUGCUUAAUACAUGCAAGUUGAACGGUAAGGCUUUGUUUUUGUGGGGUGCUCGAGAGGCGAACAGGUGAGUGACACGUGAGUAACAUCCCCUUGACAUCGGGGGAAAUUCUUGAAAAUGGGGUGAUAACAGGGUAGGAGCACUUUCUGCACGGGGGGGGAUGGAGAAAUACGGCGGUUGGGGAUGGACACGCGGUCUAUCGGCUUGUUGGUGGGGUAGUGGCUUACCAAGGCUUUGACGGGUAGCCGGCCUGAGAGGGUGACCGGCCACAUUGGGACUGAGAUACGGCCCAGACUCCUACGGGAGGCAGCAGUGGGGAAUAGUGCGCAAUGGGCGGAAGCCUGAUGCAGCAACGCCGCGUGCGGGAUGACGGCCUUCGGGUUGUAAACCGCUUUCGCCUGUGACGAAGAGUGAGUGACGGUAAUGGGUAAAGAAGCACCGGCUAACUACGUG